AUUGAACGCUGGCGGCAUGCUUUACACAUGCAAGUCGAACGGUAACAGGCCUUCGGGUGCUGACGAGUGGCGAACGGGUGAGUAAUGCAUCGGAACGUGCCCAAUCGUGGGGGAUAACGUAGCGAAAGUUACGCUAAUAUCGCAUAAGCCCUGAGGGGGAAAGCAGGGGAUCGCAAGACCUUGCGCGAAUGGAGCGGCCGAUGUCAGAUUAGCUAGUUGGUGGGGUAAAGGCCUACCAAGGCGACGAUCUGUAGCGGGUCUGAGAGGAUGAUCCGCCACACUGGGACUGAGACACGGCCCAGACUCCUACGGGAGGCAGCAGUGGGGAAUUUUGGACAAUGGGCGCAAGCCUGAUCCAGCCAUGCCGCGUGCGGGACGAAGGCCUC
rnacentral:rRNA from 1 species